rnacentral:lncRNA from 1 species
GACAUAUGGGUCUCUGCUUGUCACUCUGCAGACAGCAUUGAGUGUGAUAGUCACGCAUGGAGUUCCAAUCAAGCCUGAGUCACCAGGGACCAGAAAUUCUUCAAGUAUUCCUGGAACGAAGUCGUCCACCAGGCAGCAAGGUCCCUCUUGUGUUGGUUAUGAAGAUUGUCUUGUAUCUGCUUCUCAGAGCAUGGGAACCAAUUCUCAUCUUGAGUGAGUCAAUCGAUCAGAACUUCGGAUUCUCCUGCCCCACCUUCCCAAGUGCAACACUUCACUCGGCUGCCUGUCCAUUUCCCCAUCUUCUGAAGCUGAGGCCCCUAGACCUUCCUCUGCAUGCUGAAACCUGCUCCAUCUGCAUCCAGGGCUGGGCUGCCUGGCUCCCACAGGUGAGGAUGUCUACAGAAGCUUGCUUGGGAUAUUCCCUCUACCCACUUCCAAUGUCCGGCUCUUGUCUAUGUCUCCAGACCUGGAAGAAAAACCCACCCCUAGGAUAUGGGGCUGGAAAACUUGGAGGUCUUCAUAGGAUCAUGAGAUACCCCUGCCUCAGCCUCAUGAGUGCUGGGAUUUCAGGGCACGACAUCAAAUGCAGGAUUUGA